AACGAACGCUGGCGGCAGGCCUAACACAUGCAAGUCGAACGCUGUAGCAAUACAGAGUGGCAGACGGGUGAGUAACGCGUGGGAACGUGCCCUUUGGUUCGGAAUAACCCAGGGAAACUUGGGCUAAUACCGGAUACGUCCGUAAGGAGAAAGAUUUAUCGCCAAAGGAUCGGCCCGCGUCGGAUUAGCUAGUUGGUGAGGUAAAGGCUCACCAAGGCGACGAUCCGUAGCUGGUCUGAGAGGAUGACCAGCCACACUGGGACUGAGACACGGCCCAGACUCCUACGGGAGGCAGCAGUGAGGAAUAUUGGACAAUUGGGCGCAAGCCUGAUCCAGCCAUGCCGCGUGAGUGAAG
rnacentral:rRNA from 1 species